ensembl:rRNA 5S_rRNA 5S ribosomal RNA
GUCUACAGCCAUGCCACUUUGAACAAGCCCAAACCCAUCUGAUCUUGGAAGUUAAGCAGGGUUGGGCCUGUUAGUAUUUGGAUGGGAGACCACCUAGGAAAACCAGGUGCUGUAGGUG